rfam:Gordonia hirsuta DSM 44140 = NBRC 16056 DNA, contig: GOHST73.
CGGCGCGGUCUGUGAGGGCGGUGCUGAUGGGGCAGAAGUCAGCAGAGGUCGUAGUACCAGCAGGGAUCGUGAUGUUGCUGGGAAGGGC